rnacentral:rRNA from 1 species
CACGUAGGGCGCAAGCGUUGUCCGGAAUUAUUGGGCGUAAAGAGCUCGUAGGCGGUCUGUUGCGUCCGCUGUGAAAACUCGGGGCUUAACCCCGAGCCUGCAGUGGAUACGGGCAGACUAGAGGUAGGUAGGGGAGAAUGGAAUUCCCGGUGUAGCGGUGAAAUGCGCAGAUAUCGGGAGGAACACCAAUGGCGAAGGCAGCUCGCUGGGACGGUACUGACGCUGAGGCGCGAAAGCGUGGGGAGCGAACAGG